AUGCUCAAAAUUCUCCAAGCCAGGCUUCAACAAUACGUGAACCAUGAACUUCCUGAUCUUCAAGCUGGAUUUAGAAAAGGCAGAGGAACCAGAGAUCAAAUUGCCAACAUCCGCUGGAUCAUGGAAAAAGCAAGAGAGUUCCAGAAAAACAUCUACUUCUGUUUUCUUGACUAUGCCAAAGCCUUUGACUGUGUGGAUCACAAUAAACUGUGGAAGAUUCUGAAAGAGAUGGGAAUACCAGACCACCUGACUUGCCUCUUGAGAAAUCUGUAUGCAGGUCGGGAAGCAGCAGUUAGAACUGGACAUGGAACAACAGACUGGUUCCAAAUAGGAAGAGGAGUCCGUCAAGGCUAUAUAUUGUCACCCUGCUUAUUUAAAUUCUAUGCAGAGUACAUCAUGAGAAACACUGGACUGGAAGAAACACAAGGUGGAAUCAAGAUUGCCGGGAGAAAUAUCAAUAACCUCAGAUAUGCAGAUGACAGCACCCUUAUGGCAGAAAGUGAAGAGGAAUUAAAAAGCCUCUUGAUGAAAGUGAAAGAGGAGAGUGAAAAAGUUGGCUUAAAGCUCAACAUUCAGAAAAUGAAGAUCAUGGCAUCCGGUCCCAUCACUUCAUGGCAAAUAGAUGGGGAAACAGUGGAAAAAGUGUCAGACGUUAUUUUUGGGGGCUCCAAAAUCACUGCAGAUGGUGACUGCAGCCAUGAAAUUAAAAGAUGCUUACUCCUUGAAAGAACAGUUAUGACCAACCUAGAUAGCAUAUUCAAAAGCAGAGACAUUACUUUGCUGACUAAAGUCUGUCUAGUCAAGGCUAUGGUUUUUCCAGUAGUCAUGUAUGGAUGUGAGAGUUGGACUGUGAAGGAGGCUGAGCGCCGAAGAAUUGAUGCUUUUGAACUGUGGUGUUGGAGAAGACUCUUGAGAGUCCCUUGGACUGCAAGGAGAUCCAACCAGUCCAUUCUGAAGGAGAUCAGCCCUGGGAUUUCUUUGGAAAGAAUGAUGCUAAAGCUGAAACUCCAGUACUUUGGUCACCUCAUGCGAGGAGUUGACUCAUUGGAAAAGUCUUUGAUGCUGGGAGGGAUUGGGGGCAGGAGGAGAAGGGGACGACAGAGGAUGAGAUGGCUGGAUGGCAUCACAGACUCGGUGGACGUGAGUCUGAGUGAUCUCUGGGAGUUGGUGAUGGACAGGGAGGCCUGGCAUGCUGCGAUUCAUGGGGUUGCAUAG
rnacentral:lncRNA from 1 species